CGGCACGGGUGAGUAAUACAUCGGAACGUGUCUUCUAGUGGGGGAUAACUGCCCGAAAGGGCAGCUAAUACCGCAUGAGACCUGAGGGUGAAAGCGGGGGAUCGCAAGACCUCGCGCUGGAAGAGCGGCCGAUGUCCGAUUAGCUAGUUGGUGAGGUAAAGGCCCACCAAGGCGACGAUCGGUAGCCGGACUGAGAGGUUGAACGGCCACAUUGGGACUGAGACACGGCCCAG
rnacentral:rRNA from 1 species